rnacentral:rRNA from 1 species
AUUGAACGCUGGCGGCAUGCUUUACACAUGCAAGUCGAACGGUAACAGGUUAAGCUGACGAGUGGCGAACGGGUGAGUAAUGCAUCGGAACGUGCCCGAUCGUGGGGGAUAACGCAGCGAAAGCUGCGCUAAUACCGCAUACGAUCUGAGGAUGAAAGCGGGGGACCGUAAGGCCUCGCGCGAUCGGAGCGGCCGAUGUCAGAUUAGGUAGUUGGGGGGGUAAAGGCUCACCAAGCCGACGAUCUGUAGCUGGUCUGAGAGGACGGCCAGCCACACUGGGACUGAGACACGGCCCAGACUCCUACGGGAGGCAGCAGUGGGGAAUUUUGGACAAUGGGCGCAAGCCUGAUCCAGCAAUGCCGCGUGCAGGAAGAAGGCCUUCGGGUUGUAAACUGCUUUUGUACGGAGCGAAAAGGCUCUCUCUAAUACAGGGGGCUCAUGACGGUACCGUAAGAAUAAGCACCGGCUAACUACGUGCCAGCCGCCGCCGUAA